CCUACGGGGGGCUGCAGUAGGGAAUCUUCCACAAUGAGCGAAAGCCUGAUGGAGCAACGCCGCGUGGGUGAAGAAGGUCUUCGGAUCGUAAAACCCUGUUGUUAGGGAAGAACGUGCGUGAGAGUAACUGUUCACGUUUCGACGGUAUCUAACCAGAAAGCCACGGCUAACUACGUGCCAGCAGCCGCGGUAAUACGUAGGUGGCAAGCGUUAUCCGGAUUUAUUGGGCGUAAAGGGAACGCAGGCGGUCUUUUAAUUCUGAUGUGAAAUCCUUGGGCUUAACCGGAGUAGCGCAUUGGAAACUGGGAGACUAGAGUGAAGAAGAGGAGAGCGGAAUUCCAUGUGUAGCGGUGAAAUGCGUAGAUAUAUGGAAGAACACCAGAGGCGAAAGCGGCUUACUGG
rnacentral:rRNA from 1 species